rnacentral:rRNA from 1 species
UACGUAGGGGGCAAGCGUUGUCCGGAAUCAUUGGGCGUAAAGAGCGUGUAGGCGGCUCGAUAAGUCUGCUGUGAAAGUCCAGGGCUCAACCCUGGAAGGCCGGUGGAAACUGUCGGGCUAGAGUCCGGAAGAGGCGAGUGGAAUUCCCGGUGUAGCGGUGAAAUGCGCAGAUAUCGGGAGGAACACCAAUGGCGAAGGCAGCUCGCUGGACGGUACUGACGCUGAGACGCGAAAGCGU